rnacentral:rRNA from 1 species
GGUUGCGAUCAUACCAGCACUAAUGCAUCGGAUCCCAUCAGAACUCCGCAGUUAAGCGUGCUUGGGCGAGAGUAGUACUAGGAUGGGUGACCCCCUCGGAAGUCCUCGUGUUGCAACCCC